rnacentral:rRNA from 1 species
GACGAACGCUGGCGGCGUGCCUAAUACAUGCAAGUCGAGCGAAGCGGCGGUUGGGUGAGUAAUGCGUGGGUAACCUGCCCUUAUGUCUGGGAUACCAUCUGGAAACAGAUGCUAAUACCGGAUCCUAAAGGAUGGACCGGCGAGGCGUUAGCGAGUUGGUAAGGUACCGGCUUACCAAGGCGAUGAUGCAUAGCCGGGGUGAGAGACUGAUCGGCCACAGUGGGACUGAGACACGGCCCAAACUCCUACGGGAGGCAGCAGGAGGGAAUCUUCCACAAUGGACGAAAGUCUGAUGGAGCAACGCCGCGUGAGUGAAGAAGGUUUUCGGAUCGUAAAGCACUGUUGUUGGUGAAGCGGUAAUCAACCAGAAAGUCACGGCUAACUACGUGCCAGCAGCCGCGGUAAUAC